AGAAACUGGUCUCAGUAUCUCGUUCCAACAACAAGCAUCACCCACUACAAUAAAAACAGCAAGUAGAAUCUUUUUACUUCUUUUGUGUUUCUCAUCUCGGCAAACUGCACUACAAUCUACCAAACUGCCCGAGCCAGAAACCUAGAGGUCAGGCUGGAUUUUCCUGAGGACAUGAGGUGAAGAAGCAACCACUGCGAAGUACUAAGAGUCUUGCUCUAAAGUGCUGGGAUUACAGGUGUGAGCCACCACGCCCGGCCACAGUUGACCUGAUGCAAAGGAUGGGUCAGAAGUAUGUGCUCUGGAGCCACGCAAAUCUGCUUCAAAUUCCAGUUCUGCCAUUUAGAUAGCAGGUUAUCUACAGAUACAGAAACCAUCUAGGAGGUCUGGUGUUGGAUACAACUAUUUGUACCUUGUAAAAUUCUUACCUCUAAAUCAUUAAAAAACAAAUGAGUAUCAGCAAGAUUAAAAAUCAUUUCUUCCAUGCGGAGUCCAAGGGUUACAGCCAUGGGGGGAUCCUGUAAAGAAAAUGUACACAUAAUGAGAAACCAAGAUAUUAAACAGCAGCAAGAAGUCGAAAAUCAAGACCAGAGUUGUUACUUUACCAUAAUUAACUGCAGCUGAAGGCCUAGCAUCAAGAGAGCUUACUAAGUCACUGGGACAGCUAAUUCUAAGUGAGCAGAUUACAGCACUGCAUUUUUCCAGCUAAAGGACUCACAGAUCCAAGAAUCCCAGAAAGAUGACUGGACAUUUGGUGGGUGUAGCCUUAGCAAUGCUGGGCACCCUCCAUCUUGCCAAACUGCUGUGAGGGAGCUGCCAGCACCUGCAAUUCCACUGUUUUAUCAGGCAUGUGAGAAUGAAACAUACUUCUGGAUUGAACCCAAGUUUUAUACAGAGAUGUUUGCUCAUUUUCAUUAGAUGUUUGUAGAAUUAUGGGCACCUUAUGAAUCAAGAGUUGCUUUUUUUUAAUUUGCAUUUAAGUGUAGUGAAUGUUGAGUUUAGGGUCUAAAAUGAGGUGAUAGCAAAAUCUUGGAUAGAGGAAAAAAGUGGGAUAAUAAAGGCACUAACAGG
rnacentral:lncRNA from 1 species